UGAGGAAUAUUGGGCAAUGCCCGCAAGGGUGACCCAGCAACGCCGCGUGGAGGAUGAAUGUCGUAAGAUUGUAAACUCCUGUUAGAGGGGAAGAAUAGUACCGGUUGGACCGGUAUAUGACUGUACCCUCAGAGAAAGCCCCGGCUAACUACGUGCCAGCAGCCGCGGUAAUACGUAGGGGGCAAGCGUUGUCCGGAUUUACUGGGUGUAAAGGGCGCGCAGGCGGGAUAAAAAGUCAGUGGUGAAAUCCUACAGCUUAACUGUAGAACUGCCUUUGAUACUUUUAUUCUUGAGUUCGGGAGAGAGAGACGGAAUUCCAGGUGUAGUGGUGAAAUACGUAGAUAUCUGGAAGAACACCAGCUGCGAAGGCGGUCUCUUGGUCCGACACUGACGCUGAGGCGCGAAAGCGUGGGGAGCAAACA
rnacentral:rRNA from 1 species